GGGCACUAGCGUCUGCCGCACGGAUGCCGCCAUUCUGGAGGACCUCGAGCAGGGCGAGCAGUACUACCGGCAACCGGUGUGGCGCUUGCUGUCACGACGGGUCCGCAAGGUAGACUGGCGCACACACUGCUACGACGAUCUGUUCCCGCCCGGGAAUCAGAAGGAGCUGGUGGGCCGGUCCGCGCACGCCGAGGCUUCGACGAUGGCCGGAAAGCGUGACGACGACGUCACCAGGGGCGUGGUGGCCGACUACUCCCUACCACCUAACCUGGCGAUGAUUGGAGAAGACGGAGACGUCACCGACAGCGAGGUCAAGUCUGUGCAGACUGAGCCCAACCACUCGUACAAGGUCGAGGUUGUGACCCAGACGUGCCCGGUGAUCCAGCACACACUCACGGUGACCAGCAC